GAUUGAAGUCUGAAAUUUGACUUCAUGAAGCUGGAAUUGCUAGUAAUGGCAGGUCAGCAUACUGCCGUGAAUACGUUCCCGGGCCUUGUACACACCGCCCGUCACACCAUGAGAGUUGGGAAUACCCGAAGCCUGUGAGCUAACUGUAAAGAGGCAGCAGUCGAAGGUAGAAUCAAUGAUUGGGGUGAAGUCGUAACAAGGUACC
rnacentral:rRNA from 1 species